GGAAAAUACAGGAAAUAUUGAACAAAGUCAUAUCGAACAACUUACUGAUUCUGGAUUCUUCUCAAGGAAACACAAAACUUAUGAGGGCUAUUCAGUCCUGGCGAUGAAGAGCAACCCGCUGUGGGAGACGCUGAUGGCCCUGGCUGACUCCAGAGUGGAGUGAAUUGCUACUUUGCUGACCAAGAAAUGAUCAAUGCCGGGCACCUGGCAGUGAAUGGGACGCCCUGCAAUGAUCCGCACACGCCUGUUCUCAGAAAUCUGCAGCACGAUGUUGUUAUCCAGGACAUACAAUGAGUUGUCCAUGGGAUUGACUGUGAGAGCUUCACAAACUCGGAAGUCAGUCCCUGCAGGGAAUUUCACUUAUAAUGGCCUUCAUUCGAGAGGUCUAAUUCUGUUCUCAUUCAGUGUGCACAUGGGAG